UUAUUUAUUUUUGCUUUUACAUUCUUACUAAUUUGACUUCCUUCCUUAUUCUCUCUGUUGCUUGGAUACCUCUAUACUCAUCGGAUCAAACGUUCGAAGCCAAUUCAGUAAGCCACUAACUUUCACAAGGGAAAGAAGAAAAUUGACAAGAAUUUUCUUUGUUCUGAUUUUUAGGUUUUUUGAAUAACUACGGAUCAUAACAAGCAUGGUAUGACAUGUUUUCCCAAAUUCCGAGGACACUAAAAGCUACAUGGUCAGGGGCGGAUCUAUGUAUAUGGUUCAGGAUAUUUUUUCACCCUUCUGCUUCACGAUGUUUUGCACUUCUUCUGCUUCACCUCUGCUGCUUCCAGCUUGCUCACUGGUUACUGCUCUACAGCCACCAUUGUAAAGCUUUCUCACUUCCUCUUGUUUAUUUUUUAACCCUAUGUGGGUUGUGGUUAUAUUUUUUUACCAUUAAAUAU